UGGGGGAUAUUGCACAAUGGGCGAAAGCCUGAUGCAGCGACGCCGCGUGGGGGAUGAAGGCCUUCGGGUUGUAAACUUCUUUUGCUCUGAACAAGGCGCACCAUGGGGUGUGUUGAGUGUAGGGGUUGAUUAGCGCCGGCUAACUACGUGCCAGCAGCCGCGGUAAUACGUAGGGCGCGAGCGUUGUCCGGUAUUAUUGGGCGUAAAGGGCUUGUAGGUGGCUGGUUGCGUCUGUCGUGAAAGCUCAUGGCUUAACUGUGGGUUUGCGGUGGGUACGGGCUGGCUUGAGUGCAGUAGGGGAGGCUGGAAUUCCUGGUGUAGCGGUGGAAUGCGCAGAUAUCAGGAUGAAUACCGGUGGCGAAGGCGGGUCUCUGGGCUGUUACUGACACUGAGGAGCGAAAGCAUGGGGAGCGAACAGG
rnacentral:rRNA from 1 species